rnacentral:lncRNA from 1 species
AUACCCUUUUUAAAUUUGAUGUCCAUGGAUAGUUCAAUUUUGGAUUUAGUGCCAGUUCGACAUUUAUUUGUCAUUACGAACUUUAGUAUAUUAUUUAGCUUAUGUUUUGGCUUUCAGACAAAAUGUCGCUGACAUUUUAAUAUGACUUCAAGUCAUCUUUUGCGAUUCAUAGUUUUGGUGUAGUGAUUAUACUUCUUUCCCUUGAUCCUUAAUUUGUGGUUACUUGUAAUCUUGCGGAUCACCGUAUAAUAAUAGAUUAUUACCACUUGGUUAUGAUAAUUUGAAUUUUAGGAAAAAAAAAAUUUUUUUGCGUAAAAUUUUUUAUUUCUCCUAGUAGGAGGGGAUUAUAACAUUUCGUUAACUUCUAAUGAUCUUUAUUGUUAUUUUAUUUAAAUUUUAAUAAUGUUCUGUUAUUAAAUUAUACUUAAAACAAUAACUAGUAAAUAUUUCGUCUUUCUCUGACGUCAUAACAAACCUAUAGAUUAGCAGACCUGUAUAUUUGUAUACCUGGUGUACUCCUAGCGGCAACCAAAUUAACUGUAUUGUGACAUCGUCCUCGUUGCACGGAAAAUAUGCCACUUUGGUCAGGGCGUUCAACUCGAGUGGCAGAUAGCCUAUUCAAGUAGAGCGGCGAAUAUUUCAAUCUUAUGUUUCAAGUCAUAGUAUUAUUUUGACAAGUUAAAUUAUCCGAGUUUAUUAUAUAUGUGUUUAGUGGGCUGAAGAAACAAUAAUUGAAUAUUUCCAGCAGUGAAUUGUGGCUAUCUGCCACUUGGGGAAAAAUCUUUAACUACUCCUACCACCUGAGAGGGACCGCUUUACGACCAAGUCAUCCAGGGGACAAGUUCUAAAAGCCAUGUAAUUUUCUUUUACUUCAUUAUGCUGCAUUUUGGAGAACUGCCAUGUUACUGUUAGCUGUGUAGCACCAUUCUGUGCCUAACUAGGGAUCGAAGACGUUACUGAGAAGUAGCAAGGAACACUUGUGGGGACAAUAUUUGGUCAAUCGGGUUUGUUUCGGGAACUUUUUAUAUUUAACAGUGCAAUAGUUAUCUACCUAUACCAGUACACUUAUACACUUAUUUUUUUUUUAUAAUAUCCAGAACAUUUAAGUAAUUAACAUACACAUAAUUCAAUAGCGCUCCCACACCUGUAUGUCUCUUUGUAAAAGAGGAUAAUUUGGGCCCAAAUAACCUUUUCCUAUACAGUAGUUCCUUACAUUUAUUUUUUUAUCACCAUUAUUAGACUUGUUUCCCAUAUUUUGCAUAUAACUAUAUAUAUUUUAAUAUCAUUAGCUUGUUUUUUUUAUGUAAUUUAAAUUCAAAAUUUUGUUUACUUAACUUAAAUUCAUUUGUAAUUAAAUUAAAUUCACUCCCUAAUCCCUAUCCCCUCAGGAUAGCUUUUAGUUUCACUUGUUAAUUAUUCAGAACCACGAGUCAGCAAAAGGAUCUCUUGCAUCCAGGACUUUGUUGGUUCACUUAGGAGCUUGUUGCCCGUCAACUCAUUGUGAGUUAUAUAUAUUUAUUAUUUAUAUUAUUGAGGUAUUUUUAUUAUUCAUAUUUCUAUAGGAUUUGACGUUGUACGUAUUAUAAUCGUACAAUUAUUUGGUGAAGGUUGUUAUUUAACCUACUAUAUGUAAGUUGGGGGUACGCUCCAUAUAAGAGCUACUCCAGUACUAAUGUAACUAUAGUUUUAUACGCAUAUUCUUAUAUAUUUAUACUAAGAUAGGUAAUUGAGUCAAAUUGUCAUUUUAGAGUUACAUAGUUUCACUUGUCAUAACUCAGAGGUUGUCAAUAAUCUAGGUAGUUAUAUUUAAUAAAUAUUUAUUUGUUUUGCA